rnacentral:rRNA from 1 species
UGGUUAUUCCUCGGGGCAUGCCUGUUUGAGUAUCAUGAACACCUCAACUCUCAUGGUCUUCCAUGACGAGCUUGGACUUUGGGGGUUUGCUGGCCCUGCGGCUGGCUCCUCUCAAAUGAAUCAGCUUGCCAGUGUUUGGCGGCAUCUCACGGGUGUGAUAACUAUCUACGCUCGCGGUUGUCUGCCAGGUAACCCUCAGCGAUGAAGGUUCAUUGGGGCUCAUAAACGUCUCUCCUCGGCGAGGACAACCUUUGAAAGUUCGAUCUCAAAUCAGGUAGGAAUACCCGCUGAACUUAAGCAUAUCAAUAAGCGGAGG